CCAGCAGAUAAAGCACUUAAGAUGCAGCACUUCUCCUUCAAGAUUUAAGAUACCGUUCUUCUGGAGGAAAACACUGAAAGCAGUCCUAGAUGUACAUUUUGUUUUAAUCUCCUUUUUCCAAAACGGUGUGGGAGAAACUUUUCUUAGUGGCUAUGAUACAGUUGUUGGGGUGCACCUGUUGAAUGCAAGUUUCAAGGGCAGCUACCAGGUCUCAGGACUUCGGAACUUGUUCUUCUAAAUCUUCCUUCUCUGUGAUUUUGAAGAAUCAUAAAAUAGCAUCAAUAAAUUCAUAUUCUACUUAGAAAAUGGAUUAAAGUCACCUACGUAACUUGGUUGAAAGGGUGACAAAAUGCUUUCAACCAUCUGAGCAUAUAGAAGUUGAAAAGAUCCCAAGAGUUACUACCUUGGUUGUGAUAGGAAGUUUAUGAAGGCGAGCAGUUUUCUUGAAGUUGAACCCUUUUGUAGCUUACUCCUUACUGCAAGUACAUGGGAAGCUUCAAAGUGUACAAAACCAGCAUGAGAGUCUUAAAAAAAAAUUAAAAAAAAAUAAGUAGACCCUCACUGAAGUCAUUAAUUUUUUUCAACUCAAACAAAACAAGAAGUUCAUUUAAAAGCUUGUGGUUUCUAAACCAGGGUAGGUGAACUUUCCCUUUCAGUGGAAAAGGAUUCUGUAAAACCAUGGAAGCUGAAGUAUACGCAGGAGCUUGUGACUCGGUACCAUAGGGCUGUCAAGAGUUAAAAAAAGAAUCCCAGAUUGUUCAAUUGAACUCUUUCAUGUCUUAUUCUGUGUAAAUGUUAUGAGUCACCUUCACUUUAGCAAGUAAGUCAGCAUUUCUGGCCCUCACUGAAGCAAAGAGUUUCUCAGUCUGUAAGCAGAUACAUUCAUUCCAGUGAUGCUAGAUGUAGAUGGGCACUAUUGUACACAGCACAGUGUUAUGAAGCAUUUAGUUCCUUGAUUGCCUCGUGGCCCUUCCUGAUCAGCAUAAUUUUUAUUCUAGAUAGAUUUCAGUCCAAAUACCUGAUUGCCUUGAAUAUCUUGGAGUAAGUUCAUAAGUCUAUAGUCAGAAUCUACGGAGUACACUUUGA
ensembl:lncRNA